GGCCCGUUCGUCUAUCGGUUUAGGAUAUCAGGUUCUCAUCCUGGAGAGAGGGGUUCGACUCCCCUACGGGCUACCA
rnacentral:tRNA from 1 species